GAUGAAGAACGCAGCGAAAUGCGAUAAGUAAUGCGAAUUGCAGAAUUCAGUGAGUCAUCGAAUCUUUGAACGCACAUUGCGCCCGCCAGUAUUCUGGCGGGCAUGCCUGUCUGAGCGUCAUUUCAACCCUCAUGCCCCUAGGGCGUGGUGUUGGGGAUCGGCCAAAGCCCGCGAGGGACGGCCGGCCCCUAAAUCUAGUGGCGGACCCGUCGUGGCCUCCUCUGCGAAGUAGUGAUAUUCCGCAUCGGAGAGCGAUGAGCCCCUGCCGUUAAACCCCCAACUUUCCAAGGUUGACCUCAGAUCAGGUAGGAAUACCCGCUGAACUUAAGCAUAUCAAUAAGCGGAGGA
rnacentral:misc_RNA from 1 species